UACGGAGGGUGCGAGCGUUGUCCGGAAUCACUGGGCGUAAAGGGCGCGUAGGCGGCCUGAUAAGUAGGGGGUAAAAUCUUGCGGCUUAACCGCAAGGCUGCCUUCUAAACUGUCAGGCUAGAGCACAGUAGAGGCAGGUGGAAUUCCCGGUGUAGCGGUGGAAUGCGUAGAGAUCGGGAAGAACAUCAGUGGCGAAGGCGGCCUGCUGGGCUGUUGCUGACGCUGAGGCGCGACAGCGUGGGGAGCAAACAGG
rnacentral:rRNA from 1 species